GACGGUUCAGAGGGGACGAGGCUGCGGGCAGAGGAAACACCUCAAGGAGGCUAAGCACGUCUUGGUGCGGUUACUCCCAAUCCUUGUACCAGUGUCUGGUUUUCCAUGCUGACGCUGGACUGGUUUGGGGGAAGCAGUGCCAAGUACUAACUGCCGGUGAGAAGUGCAGCUGCGCAACAACCCGCUUCUUCCGGGGCGGAUAAAAGCAAUUAAACGAAUGAUUUGUUGACAAUCUGAGACGACGGAAUGAGAAAGUUCACAAGGGCAAUAUGUUGUGCUAGAAUGUGAACAAAGCAAAAAUGCCGGACUGUACAUUGUCAUGUUGAAAAAAAGCCUGCUAGAACUUGUGCUUAUUUUUCACACACAAGUUUAUUAAUGCAAAAAUAAAUACAGUUUUGCCUGAAA